CUCUCUCUAGGUUUCUUUUCUCUACAAAAAUGGAUGAUUUAAGUGGAUUUUUCUCCCCUUGUUGAUGUUAGCUUAUUAGAAGCACCUUGGGCUGCUGAGGGAGUAAGGAACAGAAGUUUUGAAAGGUACUUCACAGUCCUGAACCUAGCUGUAACUCGGGUGGAGCCUUGGAGUGCUGUGUGGUGAGAGUUCAGCAACCUUGGAAGGAGGUAAGGGCUGUGGAGCUUCAAUUUGAAGUUGGAGAAAGGUACUACUCAAGCUGUAAAAGGUUUAUUCCGUUCUUUGAGCUGAGUUGACGAAGUGUGAAGCUGAAUUUGAGUACUCCUAUCUUCAGCAAAGCUAAGGGUUCAUGUGGGGGGGAUUUAAACAAGCUUGCGACAGGGCAUUGGACAGCUCUCGACUUAAAUUAGGAGCUUGGAAAGGGUAAUUUAGUGUCUUCAUUGAAACCGAAGUAAGGGUUAAAAGCUGCAGCCUGGCACAAGCAGGUUUGGUGCUUAUUUGGAAACAAUUGGUGAAACCCCUGAAGCCGAAUUUGGGCUGAUCUGAGAAGGAUCCAACUUGGAUUAGGCUGAGGUUUAGUUUAAACUAAACCUAGGGAUUUUGGAUGCUUCAGACUGUCUACAAUCGUGGAAACAAGGAGAAUCGUCGAUUAAUAGAGCUAUCUACAGGAGAGGCUAGGGAUCGUGGCAAGGGAGUCGCGUUUAGCUGGACAUUGCUAGGGGCAUGCUAGUUGAUCACCUUGCUACUCGGGAUACUGCCGAGGGUGAUGUCCAGUGUAUAGAGUGACU